UGGGGAAUAUUGCACAAUGGGCGCAAGCCUGAUGCAGCCAUGCCGCGUGUAUGAAGAAGGCCUUCGGGUUGUAAAGUACUUUCAGUCGGGAGGAAGGUGGUAAGGUAAAUAACCUUAUCAAUUGACGUUACCGACAGAAGAAGCACCGGCUAACUCCGUGCCAGCAGCCGCGGUAAUACGGAGGGUGCAAGCGUUAAUCGGAAUUACUGGGCGUAAAGCGCACGCAGGCGGUUGAUUGAGUCAGAUGUGAAAUCCCCGGGCUUAACCCGGGAAUUGCAUCUGAUACUGGUCAGCUAGAGUCUUGUAGAGGGGGGUAGAAUUCCAUGUGUAGCGGUGAAAUGCGUAGAGAUGUGGAGGAAUACCGGUGGCGAAGGCGGCCCCCUGGACAAAGACUGACGCUCAGGUGCGAAAGCGUGGGGAGCAAACAGG
rnacentral:rRNA from 1 species